UUACGGUCAUAUCAGGUUCAAACACUGGUUCUCAUACAAUCACCAAAGUUAAGCAACAUCAAGCCUGGUCAGUACCUAGAUGAGUGACCACUUGGAAAUACCAGGUGCUAU
rnacentral:rRNA from 1 species